CCUACGGGGGGCAGCAGUAGGGAAUAUUCCACAAUGGACGAAAGUCUGAUGGAGCGACACAGCGUGCAGGAUGAAGGCCCUAUGGGUUGUAAACUGCUGUGGUUAGUGAAGAAAAAGUAGCAUAGGAAAUGAUGCUACCUUGACGGUACCUGAUUAGAAAGCAUCGGCUAACUCUGUGCCAGCAGCCGCGGUAAGACAGAGGAUGCAAGCGUUAUCCGGAAUGAUUGGGCGUAAAGCGUCUGUAGGUUGUUUGUUAAGUCUGGCGUUAAAUUUUGGGGCUCAACCCCAAAACGCGUUGGAUACUGGCAGACUAGAGUUAUGUAGAGGUUAGCGGAAUUCCUUGUGAAGCGGUGAAAUGCGUAGAUAUAAGGAAGAACAUCAAUAUGGCGAAGGCAGCUAACUGGGCAUACACUGACACUGAGAGACGAAAGCUAGGGGAGCGAAUGGGAUUAGAUACCCGUGUAGUC
rnacentral:rRNA from 1 species